rnacentral:rRNA from 1 species
ACAUCCAGAGAACUUGGCAGAGAUGCCUUGGUGCCUUCGGGACCUCUGAGACAGGUGCUGCAUGGCUGUCGUCAGCUCGUGUUGUGAAAUGUUGGGUUAAGUCCCGNAACGAGCGCAACCCCUAUCCUUUGUUGCCAGCGAUUCGGUCGGGAACUCAAAGGAGACUGCCGGUGAUAAACCGGAGGAAGUGGGGAUGACGUCAAGUCAUCAUGGCCCUUACGAGUAGGGCUACACACGUGCUACAAUGGCGCAUACAAAGAGAAGCGACCUCGCGAGAGCAAGCGGACCUCAUAAAGUGCGUCGUAGUCCGGAUCGGAGUCUGCAACUCGACUCCGUGAAGUCGGAAUCGCUAGUAAUCGUAGAUCAGAAUGCUACGGUGAAUACGUUCCCGGGCCUUGUACACACCGCCCGUCACACCAUGGGAGUGGGUUGCAAAAGAAGUAGAUAGCUUAACCUUCGGGAGGGCGUUUACCACUUUGUGAUUCAUGACUGGGGUGAAGUCGUAACAAGGUAGGCGUAGCGAG